rnacentral:rRNA from 1 species
CCCCUUUGAAUGUCACCCCGGGAAACUGGGGCUAAUCCCAGAUAGAUGAAAACCCCUGGAAUGGGUUCUCGUCAAAAAGGCACCGCGGUUAUGCUCUGCGGUGUCGCUCAAGGAUGGGGCCGCGUCCGAUCAGGCUGUUGGUGAGGCAAUGGCUCACCAAACCUAUAACCGGUACGGGCCGUGGGAGCGGGAGCCCGGAGAUGGGAACUGAGACAAGGUCCCAGGCCCUACGGGGCGCAGCAGUUACGAAAACUUGUCAAUGCACGAAAGUGUGAACGGGCUACCCCGAGUGCCGUCCGCUGAGGAUGGCUUUUCUCUGCUGUAAGAAGGCGGAGGAAUAAGGCGAGGGCAAGUCUGGUGUCAGCCGCCGCGGUAAAACCAGCUCGCCGAGUGGUAGGGAUGAUUAUUGGGCCUAAAGCGUCCGUAGCCGGCCUUUCAAGUCUCUUGUUAAAUCCAACGAUUCAAUCGCUGGACUGCAGGAGAUACUGUUAGGCUAGGGGGCGGGAGAAGCCGACGGUAUUUUCGGGGUAGGGGUAAAAUCCUAUAAUCCCGGGAAGACCACCAGUGGCGUAGGCGGUCGGCUAGCACGCGCUCGACGGUGAGGGACGAAAGCUGGGGGAGCGAACCGGAUUAGAUACCCGGGUAGUCCCAGCUGUAAACGAUGCAGGCUAGGUGUUAGGGCGGCUACGUGCCGCUCUAGUGCCGCAGGGAAGCUGUUAAGCCUGCCGCCUGGGGAGUACGGCCGCAAGGCUGAAACUUAAAGGAAUUGGCGGGGGAGCAC